rnacentral:rRNA from 1 species
UUAAGCGACUAAGCGUACACGGUGGAUGCCCUGGCAGUCAGAGGCGAUGAAGGACGUGCUAAUCUGCGAUAAGCGUCGGUGAGGUGAUAUGAACCGUUAUAACCGGCGAUUUCCGAAUGGGGAAACCCAGUGUGUUUCGACACACUAUCAUUAACUGAAUCCAUAGGUUAAUGAGGCGAACCGGGGGAACUGAAACAUCUAAGUACCCCGAGGAAAAGAAAUCAACCGAGAUUCCCCCAGUAGCGGCGAGCGAACGGGGAGGAGCCCAGAGCCUGAAUCAGUGUGUGUGUUAGUGGAAGCGUCUGGAAAGGCGCGCGAUACAGGGUGACAGCCCCGUACACAAAAAUGCACAUACUGUGAGCUCGAUGAGUAGGGCGGGACACGUGGUAUCCUGUCUGAAUAUGGGGGGACCAUCCUCCAAGGCUAAAUACUCCUGACUGACCGAUAGUGAACCAGUACCGUGAGGGAAAGGCGAAAAGAACCCCGGCGAGGGGAGUGAAAAAGAACCUGAAACCGUGUACGUACAAGCAGUGGGAGCCUCUUAAUGGGGUGACUGCGUACCUUUUGUAUAAUGGGUCAGCGACUUAUAUUCUGUAGCAAGGUUAACCGAAUAGGGGAGCCGAAGGGAAACCGAGUCUUAACUGGGCGUUAAGUUGCAGGGUAUAGACCCGAAACCCGGUGAUCUAGCCAUGGGCAGGUUGAAGGUUGGGUAACACUAACUGGAGGACCGAACCGACUAAUGUUGAAAAAUUAGCGGAUGACUUGUGGCUGGGGGUGAAAGGCCAAUCAAACCGGGAGAUAGCUGGUUCUCCCCGAAAGCUAUUUAGGUAGCGCCUCGUGAAUUCAUCUCCGGGGGUAGAGCACUGUUUCGGCAAGGGGGUCAUCCCGACUUACCAACCCGAUGCAAACUGCGAAUACCGGAGAAUGUUAUCACGGGAGACACACGGCGGGUGCUAACGUCCGUCGUGAAGAGGGAAACAACCCAGACCGCCAGCUAAGGUCCCAAAAGUCAUGGUUAAGUGGGAAAACGAUGUGGGAAGGCCCAGACAGCCAGGAUGUUGGCUUAGAAGCAGCCAUCAUUUAAGGAAAGCGUGAUAGCUCACUGGUCGAGUCGGCCUGCGCGGAAGAUGUAACGGGGCUAAACCAUGCACCGAAGCUGCGGCAGCGACACUAUGUGUUGUUGGGUAGGGGAGCGUUCUGUAAGCCUGUGAAGGUGGCCUGUGAGGGUUGCUGGAGGUAUCAGAAGUGCGAAUGCUGACAUAAGUAACGAUAAAGCGGGUGAAAAGCCCGCUCGCCGGAAGACCAAGGGUUCCUGUCCAACGUUAAUCGGGGCAGGGUGAGUCGACCCCUAAGGCGAGGCCGAAAGGCGUAGUCGAUGGGAAACAGGUUAAUAUUCCUGUACUUGGUGUUACUGCGAAGGGGGGACGGAGAAGGCUAUGUUGGCCGGGCGACGGUUGUCCCGGUUUAAGCGUGUAGGCUGGUUUUCCAGGCAAAUCCGGAAAAUCAAGGCUGAGGCGUGAUGACGAGGCACUACGGUGCUGAAGGACAAAUGCCCUGCUUCCAGGAAAAGCCUCUAAGCAUCAGGUAACAUCAAAUCGUACCCCAAACCGACACAGGUGGUCAGGUAGAGAAUACCAAGGCGCUUGAGAGAACUCGGGUGAAGGAACUAGGCAAAAUGGUGCCGUAACUUCGGGAGAAGGCACGCUGAUAUGUAGGUGAAGCGACUUGCUCGUGGAGCUGAAAUCAGUCGAAGAUACCAGCUGGCUGCAACUGUUUAUUAAAAACACAGCACUGUGCAAACACGAAAGUGGACGUAUACGGUGUGACGCCUGCCCGGUGCCGGAAGGUUAAUUGAUGGGGUUAGCGGCAACGCGAAGCUCUUGAUCGAAGCCCCGGUAAACGGCGGCCGUAACUAUAACGGUCCUAAGGUAGCGAAAUUCCUUGUCGGGUAAGUUCCGACCUGCACGAAUGGCGUAAUGAUGGCCAGGCUGUCUCCACCCGAGACUCAGUGAAAUUGAACUCGCUGUGAAGAUGCAGUGUACCCGCGGCAAGACGGAAAGACCCCGUGAACCUUUACUAUAGCUUGACACUGAACAUUGAGCCUUGAUGUGUAGGAUAGGUGGGAGGCUUUGAAGUGUGGACGCCAGUCUGCAUGGAGCCGACCUUGAAAUACCACCCUUUAAUGUUUGAUGUUCUAACGUUGGCCCGUACCGGGUUGCGGACAGUGUCUGGUGGGUAGUUUGACUGGGGCGGUCUCCUCCUAAAGAGUAACGGAGGAGCACGAAGGUUGGCUAAUCCUGGUCGGACAUCAGGAGGUUAGUGCAAUGGCAUAAGCCAGCUUGACUGCGAGCGUGACGGCGCGAGCAGGUGCGAAAGCAGGUCAUAGUGAUCCGGUGGUUCUGAAUGGAAGGGCCAUCGCUCAACGGAUAAAAGGUACUCCGGGGAUAACAGGCUGAUACCGCCCAAGAGUUCAUAUCGACGGCGGUGUUUGGCACCUCGAUGUCGGCUCAUCACAUCCUGGGGCUGAAGUAGGUCCCAAGGGUAUGGCUGUUCGCCAUUUAAAGUGGUACGCGAGCUGGGUUUAGAACGUCGUGAGACAGUUCGGUCCCUAUCUGCCGUGGGCGCUGGAGAACUGAGGGGGGCUGCUCCUAGUACGAGAGGACCGGAGUGGACGCAUCACUGGUGUUCGGGUUGUCAUGCCAAUGGCACUGCCCGGUAGCUAAAUGCGGAAGAGAUAAGUGCUGAAAGCAUCUAAGCACGAAACUUGCCCCGAGAUGAGUUCUCCCUGACCCUUUAAGGGUCCUGAAGGAACGUUGAAGACGACGACGUUGAUAGGCCGGGUGUGUAAGCGCAGCGAUGCGUUGAGCUAACCGGUACUAAUGAACCGUGAGGCUUAACCUU